AGAGUUUGAUCCUGGCUCAGGAUGAACGCUGGCGGCGUGCCUAAUACAUGCAAGUCGAACGCACAGCGAAAGGUGCUUGCACCUUUCAAGUGAGUGGCGAACGGGUGAGUAACACGUGGAUAACCUACCUCAAGGUUGGGGAUAACAUUUGGAAACAGAUGCUAAUACCGAAUAAAACUUCGUAUCGCAUGAUACAAGGUUAAAAGGCGCUACGGCGUCACCUAGAGAUGGAUCCGCGGUGCAUUAGUUAGUUGGUGGGGUAAAGGCCUACCAAGACAAUGAUGCAUAGCCGAGUUGAGAGACUGAUCGGCCACAUUGGGACUGAGACACGGCCCAAACUCCUACGGGAGGCUGCAGUAGGGAAUCUUCCACAAUGGGCGAAAGCCUGAUGGAGCAACGCCGCGUGUGUGAUGAAGGCUUUCGGGUCGUAAAGCACUGUUGUAUGGGAAGAACAGCUAGAGUAGGGAAUGACUUUAGUUUGACGGUACCAUACCAGAAAGGGACGGCUAAAUACGUGCCAGCAGCCGCGGUAAUACGUAUGUCCCGAGCGUUAUCCGGAUUUAUUGGGCGUAAAGCGAGCGCAGACGGUUGAUUAAGUCUGAUGUGAAAGCCCGGAGCUCAACUCCGGAAAGGCAUUGGAAACUGGUCAACUUGAGUGCAGUAGAGGUAAGUGGAACUCCAUGUGUAGCGGUGGAAUGCGUAGAUAUAUGGAAGAACACCAGCGGCGAAGGCGGCUUACUGGACUGUAACUGACGUUGAGGCUCGAAAGUGUGGGUAGCAAACAGGAUUAGAUACCCUGGUAGUCCACACCGUAAACGAU
rnacentral:rRNA from 1 species